UUUACUAGAAUAUAGUUAUCCUACUUGGAUAACUGUGGCAAUUCUAGAGCUAAUACAUGCAAAAAAGCUCUGCCCGUAAGGAACGAGCGCAUUUAUUAGAAUAAAAACCAAUCGGGUUUCGGCCCGUAAUUUGGUGAAUCUGAAUAACUUUGCCAAUCGCACAGUCCUAGUACUGGCGAUGUAUCUUUCAAGUGUCUGCCUUAUCAACUUUCGAUGGUAGGUUAUACGCCUACCAUGGUAGUAACGGGUAACGGAGAAUAAGGGUUCGACUCCGGAGAGGGAGCCUGAGAAACGGCUACCACAUCCAAGGAAGGCAGCAGGCGCGCAAAUUACCCACUUCCAGAACGGAGAGGUAGUGACGAAAAAUAACGAGACAGUCCUCUUCGAGGUCUGUCAUCGGAAUGGGUACAAUUUAAAUCCUUUAACGAGGAUCUAUUGGAGGGCAAGUCUGGUGCCAGCAGCCGCGGUAAUUCCAGCUCCAAUAGCGUAUAUUAAAGUUGUUGCGGUUAAAACGCUCGUAGUUGGAUCUGCGGCCUCGGAGAACGGUCCCCCGAAAGGGUGGUCACUGUCUCUCCUAGCCUAAAUUCGAGUCGUCUCUAAGUGCUCUUUACCGAGUGCUUAGAGUGACUAGAACGUUUACUUUGAAAAAAUUAGAGUGCUUAAAGCAGGCGUAAUAGCCUGAAUAAGGUGCAUGGAAUAAUGGAAUAGGACCUCGGUUCUAUUUUGUUGGUUUUCGGAACCUGAGGUAAUGAUUAAGAGGAACAGACGGGGGCAU
rnacentral:rRNA from 1 species